rnacentral:misc_RNA from 1 species
UUGUUAUUAAUAGAAAACAAUACAAAAUAUACGGAAAGAGAGUAGUAAGUAGAAGAAGCAGCUGCUGCCCUUUUGUCUCUUAUUGUGGAAUGCUAUUGCUGAGCCUAAAUAGAAAUGGCUUCCUCUGCAUCAGCUUUGUAAUCACUAAUCAGUAGUUACUGCUUUUAAUCCUUUUAUUCAAUUUCAUCUCACCAUUUGAUUCGUGGAUU